GAGGAACCAGUCAUCCUCUCUCUCCAGCCCCUCUCAGGGAAUUUCUGCCAACUCCAUGCCAGGCGCUGCCUCCUCUCUCUCAUUGAAGCAUCACUGUAUCCUUUGUGUAUUUAACAACAUAUCCUCUUUGAACCUCAGUUUUCUCAUCUGCAAACUGGAGAUGACGAUACUGGUACCUUCCUCACCAGGCCGCUGCUGAAUGAACAUGACAACCACCAUGCGUUAUUACAUUGCAGAUGCAGCAUCCCAGAGCCUGCCUGGGCCCCAUCCACAGGGCCCUGCCCAGUUUGUCUUCAUUCACUGCACUAGGGAGCUGGUGGGCAAGAAGAGCAGCCUCGGUGCUGUUCCACACAGAGCUGGGCUGGAACCAAGCCGAGUCCCACUUGGCUCUAGCAGGUCACUGGAUUCUCUGAGCCUCGGUAUCUCCAAUGGUGAAAGGAGCAUCGCAGUGCCUACCUGCAGGGCCUGAUGUGGAUUGUCCCAAAAGCGCAUGCCACAUGGUGGGGGCUCAAGAAAGCUGUCCCCCUCCCCACCUUCUUCUGGACCACGAAAUCCUGUGGUACACCUAGCCCCUCCCUCACCAGGCAGCCCUCUGACAUCGCAAAAAUUCAGGCUGAGCA
rnacentral:lncRNA from 1 species